rnacentral:lncRNA from 1 species
GAUCCAAAUGGAGACGGUGGCAGAUUAUUGAAGGAUAGACUCUAGGCAUGUCUUCAGUAGACCAAGCCAAUACAUUUUUAUUUGCUUGUAAGAAGGCAGUGAAUAACUCUUUUGUCUCGAUUCGAUAGCUUUGAUUUGAUUAUUAUGGCCUUAAGUUCGGGUUUGUCGGGAUAGAAACUUAAGUAGACAGCAUCAUCAUCUACCUUUGAUUUCGAAGUACUGUCGUAUUGGGGUCAAGGGUCCAUGUCGAAUUCCAUGUAGCUUGUUUCUUGGCCCCCAAACUAUGGUUGCUAUGCGGUUUUCUCCAUCAGAGCUACGAGCUUCGUUCUCCUUUUCAUAUCAUAUUUAGGCUUUCUACUGAGCAGCAGUAGGCCUUGACCUGAUCUCUCUUAGUUUCUUUUAUCCUGCCAAUUGUAGGAUAUCAGAGUAGUUGAUGGUGUGAUGACGAGACUGCUUUCAUCUUGGGUAGCCAAUUUCGGCCCAAGAUGGUGCUAUACGGAGUUGGACAGUCCAUAACAUACAAGAUAAUAAUAGGUUCCGCCUUAACCGCUAGUUUCACAAUUCUGAGUGAUCAAACAAAAGCACCAUUAAAGGUAUGCAAAGUAGUCUUACUCAAGUUGAAAUUAUCCAUAAUUCCAAUCCUUUCAUCUCCUCUACUUCUUUGAAGAGGAUGCUAACUUUGGAUAUGUUGUCCACCAGCACGUACCUGACCAUGGUAUCCAAGAUUUGGACCUUUAUGACCAAGGCUUGUUGAUGGAGACCACAUCCUGGUCUAGUUGCAUGCCGAAUUUCUCCCAUUUCUAGCAUUGCCUAGAUGUUUUUGUGCCCCAUAUAUGCAGUUGACACUGACAAUUUUUUUUUUCUUCAUCGGCCCUUGAUACUUGGAUUAUUUCCAAUUACGUCUGGGCUUCUUAUGAGAGGUGUUGGAAGUCUGACUGUGGAGCGCCACGCAGGGGUUCAGAUUAGCAAUUUUCGCUAGAGUCUGAACGUACAUUGCCAUGACAUAUGGCUCUUCAAAUCCAAAGACAGCAUCUUCUAGGGCUUUUCACGCAUCUUUUGAAGUAGAUAAGUUUCGAAUGAUCUUCCAUUUGAGAGGCGCUCAAAGCCUUUCAAAGCUUGUUAACAUAGACAUUAAUCCUCAUCAAAGUUGUCUAGACUUAAUCCAUGGUAGGGGUGACUUCACCAACAAGGGUGUCGUUGUGUCCCUAGUAUGGCGGAGUCACAUGGGUAUUGGUUUGAGGGGGUAGAGUGAUUUCGAGGGGGGAAUAUGAGUUUACUCUCAAUGAAAGUACCAAUUGUUGAAAUCAAAUUCGCACACCACCGCUUGUGGAGCUUAUACUAGUCGGGAGAGAGACAUUUUAGGAUAUGGAAUCCGUAUGAAAUUGGGAGAAUCCUUAAAUAUAUCUAAAGAUAGAUAUUGUUUCCUUCUAGGAGUAUGAUUAUUUGCAGCACACGCCAAUUCCUAAAUUGUAAGAAUAUCCUAGAAUAUAGGAAACUUAUCUAAUCCCUAUUUGGAUCAAGAUUCCAUAUCUUGCGAAACAAGAAUGGUCAAUCUCAGUGUAGUCGAUGGACUUUGCCUACUUUCUCGAAACACAAGAUGAUGGUGACAUCACUAGUCCAUUUGCUCAAUUUGAUCGAAGUUGUUGGGUCCAUAACCAAACCUCUAAGGUAUACGUAUUCUGAUCCGUCUUGCUCAAACCCUAAAAAUCCUGGUCCCACAAUAUCAACUAUAAGAUCUUAUUCAACUUUGACCUAGAUGCUAAAUAACAAUGGAGAUUGAAGAAAGAGGAGAGCACCAAUAUUUUUUUAUAUUAAUAAAAUUUUAUUGAAAAAUAAGACCGUUACAAAAAUUGGAGUUUACUACCACAUUUAUACAACUAGCUACAUAAUCAAGUUCCAAUUAGCAAAAUCUAACAAACUUCUUAAUAACAAAAUUUACAAUUCUUAAUUAUUCCCAAUUCUCUGUAAUUAAGGUAAUACAGUCCAUAACACAACCAUCUCCACUUAAAACUAUUUAUCAUCUCUGCCUUCUCUCUCUUCAUGCUCGAUCUCAUGCUUCAUCUCAACCAAUUGAAUGGACAAUGGAAGAGAUGCCAGUGGUUCGACGAGGGUGGGUGGGUGACAAAAUGAGGAGUGACAUAGUUUGGGUUGGCUUGGCAUAUUUGGUAGAGUUGACAGCGGUGGGUUGGUGGCUG